GACGAACGCUGGCGGCGUGCCUAAUACAUGCAAGUUGAGCGCUGAAGGUUGGUACUUGUACCAACUGGAUGAGCAGCGAACGGGUGAGUAACGCGUGGGGAAUCUGCCUUUGAGCGGGGGACAACAUUUGGAAACGAAUGCUAAUACCGCAUAAAAACUUUAAACACAAGUUUUAAGUUUGAAAGAUGCAAUUGCAUCACUCAAAGAUGAUCCCGCGUUGUAUUAGCUAGUUGGUGAGGUAAAGGCUCACCAAGGCGAUGAUACAUAGCCGACCUGAGAGGGUGAUCGGCCACAUUGGGACUGGGACACGGCCCAAACUCCUACGGGAGGCAGCAGUAGGGAAUCUUCGGCAAUGGACGAAAGUCUGGCCGAGCAACGCCGCGUGAGUGAAGAAGGUUUUCGGAUCGUAAAACUCUGUUGGUAGAGAAGAACGUUGGUGAGAGUGGAAAGCUCAUCAAGUGACGGUAACUACCCAGAAAGGGACGGCUAACUACGUG
rnacentral:rRNA from 1 species